AGAGUUUGAUCCUGGCUCAGGAUGAACGCUGGCGGCGUGCUUAACACAUGCAAGUCGAACGAAGCACUUUAUUUGAUUUCCUUCGGGACUGAUUAUUUUGUGACUGAGUGGCGGACGGGUGAGUAACGCGUGGGUAACCUGCCUCAUACAGGGGGAUAACAGUUAGAAAUGACUGCUAAUACCGCAUAAGACCACGGUACCGCAUGGUACAGUGGUAAAAACUCCGGUGGUAUGAGAUGGACCCGCGUCUGAUUAGGUAGUUGGUGGGGUAACGGCCUACCAAGCCGACGAUCAGUAGCCGACCUGAGAGGGUGACCGGCCACAUUGGGACUGAGACACGGCCCAAACUCCUACGGGAGGCAGCAGUGGGGAAUAUUGCACAAUGGGGGAAACCCUGAUGCAGCGACGCCGCGUGAGCGAAGAAGUAUUUCGGUAUGUAAAGCUCUAUCAGCAGGGAAGAAAAUGACGGUACCUGACUAAGAAGCACCGGCUAAAUACGUGCCAGCAGCCGCGGUAAUACGUAUGGUGCAAGCGUUAUCCGGAUUUACUGGGUGUAAAGGGAGCGUAGACGGCUGUGUAAGUCUGAAGUGAAAGCCCGGGGCUCAACCCCGGGACUGCUUUGGAAACUAUGCAGCUAGAGUGUCGGAGAGGUAAGUGGAAUUCCCAGUGUAGCGGUGAAAUGCGUAGAUAUUGGGAGGAACACCAGUGGCGAAGGCGGCUUACUGGACGAUGACUGACGUUGAGGCUCGAAAGCGUGGGGAGCAAACAGGAUUAGAUACCCUGGUAGUCCACGCC
rnacentral:rRNA from 1 species